ACCUUCGUGGUGUAGUGGUCAGCACGCUGGGCGCAUAACCAAAGUUCCGUGGUUCGAGUCCCGGCGAAAGCA
rnacentral:tRNA from 1 species